CUACGGGAGGCACCAGGCGCGAAACCUUUACAAUGCACGAAAGUGUGAUAAGGGAAUCCCGAGUGCCAAUGUCUAACAUUGGCUUUUGCCAAGGGCAGAUACCUUGGCGAAUAAGUGGUGGGCAAUGCCGGUGCCAGCAGCCGCGGUAACACCGGAGCCACAAGUGGGGGUCACUUUUAUUGGGCCUAAAGCGUCCGUAGCCGGUCCAUUAAGUCUUUUGUGAAAUCGUUGGGCUCAACUCAACGGCGUGCAGGAGAAACUGAUGGACUUGGGACUGGGAGGAGUCAGAGGUAUGCUUGGGGGAGCGGUAAAAUGCUAUAAUCCCUUGUAGACCACCUGUGGCGAAGGCGUCUGACUAGAACAGAUCCGACGGUGAGGGACGAAAGCCAGGGGAGCGAUCCGGAUUAGAUACCCCAGUAGUC
rnacentral:rRNA from 1 species